UACGUAGGGUGCGAGCGUUGUCCGGAUUUAUUGGGCGUAAAGAGCUCGUAGGCGGUUUGUCGCGUCGGCCGUGAAAUCUCCACGCUUAACGUGGAGCGUGCGGUCGAUACGGGCAGACUUGAGUUCGGUAGGGGAGACUGGAAUUCCCGGUGUAGCGGUGAAAUGUGUAGAGAUCGGGAGGAACACCGGUGGCGAAGGCGGGUCUCUGGGCAAUUCCUGACGCUGAGGCGCGAAAGCGUGGGGAGCAAACGGG
rnacentral:rRNA from 1 species